rnacentral:rRNA from 1 species
AUGCGCCAACCCCGCCGUCCCGUCACCCGUCGAUUCGGUUGUGGCGCUGCGCACUUCCACCCUCGUUGCCCUCCCUGGUCCAGCAACGUCACCUGCUCCCUUCAACUCCCGUCUCGGUCUUCAUGGCCCUCAGAUCUAGCAGCCCUCGGCCACGACGCUGCCGAAUUUGGUCGGCUUGGCCUCGUCGCCCCAACCAAUAGGUGCUCGACGCCGCUCCUCGGGAUUCUGGAACACAACGGUCUUCUUCGUCAGCUCUAUAUCCCUCCACUUCCUACGCCAUGUAUCGGCCAUCUGCCCUUUCUUGAAGCUCCUCCUCAUCCAAGUGGCCACCUGAUGUUGCCGAGUGGACCACGCUCACUCGCGCCUUCACCCACCAGUACCAGGAUUUUCUCGUGUCUUUCAAGUUGA